rnacentral:rRNA from 1 species
UACAGAAGGUGCGAGCGUUAAUCGGAAUUACUGGGCGUAAAGGGUGCGUAGGUGGUUUUGUAAGUUAGGUGUGAAAGUCCCGGGCUUAACCUGGGGAUUGCGCCUGAUACUGCAAAGCUAGAGUACUGUAGAGGAAAGUGGAAUUUCCAGUGUAGCGGUGAAAUGCGUAGAUAUUGGAAGGAACAUCAGUGGCGAAGGCGACUUUCUGGACAGAUACUGACACUGAGGCACGAAAGCGUGGGGAGCAAACAGG